rnacentral:rRNA from 1 species
UUUUUAUGGAGAGUUUGAUCCUGGCUCAGGAUGAACGCUGGCGGCGUGCCUAAUACAUGCAAGUCGAGCGAACAGACGAGGAGCUUGCUCCUCUGACGUUAGCGGCGGACGGGUGAGUAACACGUGGAUAACCUACCUAUAAGACUGGGAUAACUUCGGGAAACCGGAGCUAAUACCGGAUAAUAUAUUGAACCGCAUGGUUCAAUAGUGAAAGACGGUUUUGCUGUCACUUAUAGAUGGAUCCGCGCCGCAUUAGCUAGUUGGUAAGGUACGGCUUACCAAGGCAACGAUGCGUAGCCGACCUGAGAGGGUGAUCGGCCACACUGGAACUGAGACACGGUCCAGACUCCGUACGGGAGGCAGCAGU